UGGGGAAUAUUGGACAAUGGGCGAAAGCCUGAUCCAGCCAUGCCGCGUGUGUGAAGAAGGUCUUCGGAUUGUAAAGCACUUUAAGUUGGGAGGAAGGGCAGUUACCUAAUACGUGAUUGUUUUGACGUUACCGACAGAAUAAGCACCGGCUAACUCUGUGCCAGCAGCCGCGGUAAUACAGAGGGUGCAAGCGUUAAUCGGAAUUACUGGGCGUAAAGCGCGCGUAGGUGGUUUGUUAAGUUGGAUGUGAAAUCCCCGGGCUCAACCUGGGAACUGCAUUCAAAACUGACAAGCUAGAGUACGGUAGAGGGUGGUGGAAUUUCCUGUGUAGCGGUGAAAUGCGUAGAUAUAGGAAGGAACACCAGUGGCGAAGGCGACCACCUGGACUGAUACUGACACUGAGGUGCGAAAGCGUGGGGAGCAAACAGGAUUAGAUACCCACGUAGUCCCUGAGCGGGCUGGCAAGGCGCAU
rnacentral:rRNA from 1 species